rnacentral:rRNA from 1 species
UACGUAGGGUGCAAGCGUUGUCCGGAAUUAUUGGGCGUAAAGAGCUCGUAGGUGGCCUGUCGCGUCGGCUGUGAAAACUCGGGGCUCAACUCCGAGCUUGCAGUCGAUACGGGCAGGCUAGAGUCCGGCAGGGGAGACUGGAAUUCCUGGUGUAGCGGUGAAAUGCGCAGAUAUCAGGAGGAACACCGGUGGCGAAGGCGGGUCUCUGGGCCGUAACUGACGCUGAGGAGCGAAAGCGUGGGGAGCGAACAGG